rnacentral:rRNA from 1 species
UAAUAGUGUAUAUUAAAGUUGUUGCAGUUAAAAAGCUCGUAGUUGAAUGUUGGUGUCGAACGAGCGGUCAGCUUCGGCUGUACUGCUCUCUCGACUCCUUCCUUCUGUGGACUACGUCGCACUUUACUGUGUGGCGCUAGGACGCAGAUCGUUUACUGUGAAAAAAUUAGAGUGUUCGAAGCAGGCCGUACGCUUGAAUACAUUAGCAUGGAAUAAUGGAAUAGGACGUCGGGCCUAUUUUGUUGGUUCUAGGACCGUCGUAAUGAUUAAUAGGGACAGUUGGGGCCGUUUAUAUUCCGUAGUCAGAGGUGAAAUUCUUGGAUUUACGGAAGAUAAACUACUGCGAAAGCAUUCGGCAAGGAUGUUUUCGUUAA